CUUUAAUAACAUACAGGAGGCUCUUGCAGGGUCUAGCAAGCUAUUAACAUAGCAGGGGAUAAGAAAAUCUUAAUUAAACAGAACUUGCAAUAAAGAAAGCCUAAAUAGGGCUCUCUUUACACGAAGUGUUUAUGGAAGGCUGUGCAAGUCACAUGCAGGGAGGUGUGACUAGGGUUCACAAACAAAGGGAUUUAACUCCUAAAUGGCAGAGGAUUGAGCAAUGAGGCUGCAGGGGCAUGUUCUAUACACCAAAACUGCUUCAUUAAGCUAAAGUUGUUCAGGUGACUAUAGU